CAAAUACUGCCUUAUUCUUCCCACAUAUGCAAGUUACCGCUUCACAGGACUUCCUCACAACAGCAUUUUCAUCUACAGUGUACCCUCCUGUGGCUUUGGAGUCCAAAGGCUGAGGCGCAGAAUUUGUGGCACAUGGGGCAUGGAAUGCCAGUUGUUAUGGGAGGUGCGGUUGUGGCCUGGUGUCAGCAUUCACCCGCAGCGGCGAAAUUGAAGAAAGGAGUUAAAGGACAUGAUCAAAAAGAAAAAUAACUGCAAAAAACAGGGCAACGAGAGAACAAAAAAGUUGGACAAUCUCAAUACUACUCUGAAAUUUUGUUAUCCAUAUUAUCCAUGAAAUUGUAAAAGUAUCAGGAAAAGGUCUCUUAGACAUUAAGUGCACAGCAUGAGAGAAUGGGAAUGGGCUUGGAUCUUUGUCAUGAAGGUAGCUGUAAUUUGUGAGAUUGCCAUUACACUGAAGGAUUAAAGAUAUUAAGGUAUCUGGUGAGGUAUCCCAUUUCUCUUUGUAUCUACAUUUGUAUCUACAUACAUAUCUACAUAUCUAUCUAGUUUGGUUUCAUCUUCUUGGAACAAGAUGCCCCUGCAGGAUAAGCUGAUCACUUAGAAACUUAUCACCAGGCUGUUAAAUUAGGAGCUCAACACCUUCCCACAUCCCUUUGUCUCCUCUGAUUGGAUUCAGAACCAUGUCUUUUCCAUUUUGUGGGGAAGAAUACUAAACUCCUCCUAAAAUAUUCUUGUACAGAAGGCAGAGAUUGGUACAGCUCAUUCCUCUUUGCAUUUCUAGCUCUGCUUGAUUUCAGCUCCAUGGAAUAAAAUUCCCUUUAGUGAUCUCCUCA
rnacentral:lncRNA from 1 species